AUUGAACGCUGGCGGCAUGCCUUACACAUGCAAGUCGAACGGCAGCACGGGGCAACCUGGUGGCGAGUGGCGAACGGGUGAGUAAUGCAUCGGAACGUACCUUUCAGUGGGGGAUAACGUAGCGAAAGUUACGCUAAUACCGCAUAUUCUGUGAGCAGGAAAGCAGGGGAUCGCAAGACCUUGCGCUGAUUGAGCGGCCGAUGUCAGAUUAGCUGGUUGGUGAGGUAAAGGCUCACCAAGGCGACGAUCUGUAGCGGGUCUGAGAGGAUGAUCCGCCACACUGGAACUGGGACACGGUCCAGACGCCUACGGGGGGCAGCAGUGGGGAAUUUUGGACAAUGGGGGCAACCCUGAUCCAGCCAUGCCGCGUGAGUGAAGAAGGCCUUCGGGUUGUAAAGCUCUUUCGGCCGGGAAGAAAUCGCACGGGCUAAUACCCUGUGUGGAUGACGGUACCGGAAUAAGAGGCACCGGCUAACUACGUGCCAGCCGCCGCCGCAGUAA
rnacentral:rRNA from 1 species